GUUUAAUCAAGUCUUCUGCAAGUUUCCAUCUUUCUGAACUAAUUUCUUCUAGUCAAGAUAGUGGGGAAAGCAGUAUAGGCAACAGCACCAGAAAAAUGAAAAGAAAUGAAAGAAAGCAGGCCCACAAAUCAACUAGUGAGAAUUAAUCUUGACUUCCUGUACCAACCUACUGUAUGGCAUCCGUGUGAUCUUUUAAAUUGCUUCCUUAGUCCAGCACUCCAGAGGCAGUAAAUUGAGUCAUCAAGCAGAAAGGGAGGAAAAAGGAAGUUCAAACAGGUGGAAAAAAGCAGCAGGGAACAUCUUUCCACAUAGACUCUUUGUCUUCUGAAUCUCAGCUGGAAAUGUUUUUCAAGAGGGAGACUGGAACUAUAAAAGGAGGAGCAAACAUCCCACAGCAUCCUUCUCUCUCUCCCCCAUCCAUUGCAUUGACAGUGCCUGAAGCAACAAAGAAAGUAUUUGUUAGAUACC